CAGUAGCCGCGGGAAUACAGAGGAUGCAAGCGUUAUCCGGAAUGAUUGGGCGUAAAGCGUCUGUAGGUGGCUUUUCAAGUCCGCCGUCAAAUCCCAAGGCUCAACCCUGGACAGGCGGUGGAAAAUACCAAGCUGGAGUACGGUAGGGGCAGAGGGAAUUUCCGGUGGAGCGGUGAGAUGCGUUGAGGUUGGAAAGAACACCAACGGUGAAAGCACUCUGCUGGGCCGACACUGACACUGAGAGACGAAAGCUAGGGGAGCAAAUGGGAUUAGAUACCCCCGUAGUCCCUGUCUCUUAUAC
rnacentral:rRNA from 1 species